rnacentral:rRNA from 1 species
UACGUAGGGUGCGAGCGUUGUCCGGAAUUAUUGGGCGUAAAGAGCUUGUAGGCGGUUUGUCGCGUCUGCCGUGAAAAUUCGAGGCUCAACCUCGAACUUGCGGUGGGUACGGGCAGACUAGAGUGUGGUAGGGGAGACUGGAAUUCCUGGUGUAGCGGUGAAAUGCGCAGAUAUCAGGAGGAACCCCGAUGGCGAAGGCAGGUCUCUGGGCCACUACUGACGCUGAGGCGCGAAAGCGUGGGGAGCAAACAGG